rnacentral:rRNA from 1 species
CCUGACGCAGCGACGCCGCGUGGAGGAUGAAGGUCUUCGGAUUGUAAACUCCUGUUGCCCGGGACGAAAAGCCUCGACCUAACACGUCGAGGUCUGACGGUACCGAGUGAGGAAGCCCCGGCUAACUCUGUGCCAGCAGCCGCGGUAAUACAGAGGGGGCAAGCGUUGUUCGGAAUUACUGGGCGUAAAGGGCGCGUAGGCGGCCCGCUAAGUCGAACGUGAAAUCCCCGAGCUCAACUCGGGAACUGCGUCCGAUACUGGUGGGCUUGAAUCCGGGAGAGGGAUGCGGAAUUCCAGGUGUAGCGGUGAAAUGCGUAGAUAUCUGGAGGAACACCGGUGGCGAAGGCGGCAUCCUGGACCGGCAUUGACGCUGAGGCGCGAAAGCUAGGGGAGCAAACGGGAUUAGAUACCCCGGUAGUCCUAGCCCUAAACGAUGAAUGCUUGGUGUGGCGGGUAUCGAUCCCUGCCGUGCCGAAGCUAACGCAUUAAGCAUUCCGCCUGGGGAGUACGGUCGCAAGGCUGAAACUCAAAUGAAUUGACGG